UGCACGAGAGCCCAUCGGCACAGGGUCGCCACUUGUGCAUGGAAUCCGUCGAACGCCUGGUUGAUUUCACUAACCAUGUUGCUGAUCUUUUCCCUGAUCUCCCAGUCCAGAGAAUCAAGGAGGACAAACAGGGCUGGGUGGUGAGGGCAAAGGACCCCUCCAAAAAACUGAUGGACUUUGGUAUUCGUUUCACUCCACUCGAUAUAACCAUCAGGGAUACUGUGGAUUGCUUCAGAAGCAAAGGGCUCAUCUAGCCCGUGAACAUGUACCGUUGUUUGUCUGCCUCAAAAAA